UACGUAGGGGGCUAGCGUUGUCCGGAUUUAUUGGGCGUAAAGAGCGUGUAGGCGGCCAGGUAGGUCCGUUGUGAAAACUCGAGGCUCAACCUCGAGACGUCGGCGGAAACCAUCUGGCUAGAGUCCGGAAGAGGAGAGUGGAAUUCCUGGUGUAGCGGUGAAAUGCGCAGAUAUCAGGAAGAACACCCGUGGCGAAGGCGGCUCUCUGGGACGGUACUGACGCUGAGACGCGAAAGCGUGGGGAGCGAACAGG
rnacentral:rRNA from 1 species